AGCAGAUGAGCUUCCCUGAGAUGUUAUCUGACAGUUUGUUCAGAAAUUCUUCAGUUGUGCAAACCCACAGUUUUAUCAGCUCUCCGGGUGACUGAUCUCAGAUGAUUCCGCAGGUGAAGAAGCCAGAUGUGGAUGUCCUGGACUGGCGUCGUUACACAUGGUCUGCGGUUGUGAGGCCGGUUGGACGAACAGCGAAAUUCUCUAAAACGAUGAAGGCAGCUUAUGGCAGAGAAAUAAACAUAAAAUUCUCUGGCAACAGCUCUGAUGGACAUUCCUGCAGUCAGCAUACCAAAUGCACACUCCCUAAAAACUUGAGACAUGUGUGGUAGUGUUUGACAAAACUGCACAUUUUAGAGUGGCCUUUUAUUGUCCCCCAGUACAAGGUGCACCUGUGUACUGAUAAAGCUUUUUAAUUAGCUUCUUGAUAUUCCACACCUGUCAGGUGGAUGGAUUAUCUUGGCCAAUGAGAAAUGCUCACUAACAGGGAUGUAAACUAAUUUCUGCACUAAAUUUGAGAGAAAAAAUAUGUUUGUGCACAUUUAACAUUUCUGUGAUGUUUCAUUUCAGCUCAUGAAACAAGGGACCAACACUUUACAUGUUGUGUUUAUAUUUUUGUUUGCUCAUUUAAUAGCUAGUUAGCAAUCUAGCUAAGUGGUUAGUUACUUCCAAAAUCAAGCUUAGCUUGGCAACAGCAAGGCUCUUGAUCAGUAUCCCCUCAUGGAUCAAGAGCCUUGCUGUCUAAUAUUUGUUUUGUGCAUGCAUCAAACUAUGAGUAGCAUUUUUUAGUUACUUGUAUAACUUUGAACUGGGGAGUCUGUCCUGCAAAUACUUUAAGUCAGACUGUAUAAAAUGCUUGCAAUGUGCUCGUUAGAAUUUAGUUAGCAUUCUCUAUGGGAUUUUAAAUGUACAUGUUAGGAAUGUUAACUUUUGGAUAACAGAAGAUCUGUGAGGUUUGAAAAUAGUGCCCCUUGUGUUCAGUGCCAGUACUACCAAAUAUCCUGGUAUGGCACAAGGUAGGCAUGACAAUCUGGAUACUGCCCAAGGCCAAACCCAAUUCAACGUGUUUCUAUGGGCUAUAGUAAUAAAGGCAAUUCUAUAUUUUAUCAAAAUAUUAUUUCAUUUUUUUAAAAGUAUACUUAAACAGGUCCUAAAAUUCUAAAUCAGAUAGCCUAAUGAUCCAAGGUAUGAUUAUCAUAAAACAAUUCCAUAUGUUAGCUUAGUAGAACCGCCCUACCCCACGGCUUAGACUUUGAGGUUAACAUCUCUACAGACCUGUGUAUGAAACUUCUCUCUGCACUAGCCAUGAACAUGUAUAGCCAACUACAACAGCAUAAUAAUUCAAUAUUGGCAUUUACAUGUAAAAUUAGUUGAAAUGACAUUGCUAAGUCACGUGGGUAAACAGCUAUUGAAAUUCUAAACUUUCAAUAUUUAUAUAAAAUUGUAUAUGUGCUUUUUUUUUACCAAAGGGUGUGCAAUGUGGCCCCCUCUCCAUUGAGCAAUACAAAAUUGGUUUGAUGUGCCUUGGUCAUGUGAUCAAGGAGCUAUUGAAUUGUGAGAAUUGUUUUAAUUAAAUUAUUUCUUUAUAGAAUAAUUUUAUGACAAAGCCAACGGAUGUGCAACACAACUCUUUGUAAUGAAUAAUGGACAACUGAAAAUAUGUUGCUAAGUCAUGUGGUUGAAGAGCUAUUGACAUUUCAAUAUUGUGAUCAUGUACUUUGUCGACGGUCCCGAACUGGUUGCAUUGACGGUGAGCCACACUGCCUACACCGUUACCAUAUGAUUAUUAAAAAAUAAGACCUGUGCAAUGUUGUAAAACUUUUGCCUUCGUAAACAGCUUAACCUGAGGUAUGUACCUCAAGUCGUUAACGAGCUAUUGAAUUUGAAGGUCCGAAUGUCUGGCUAAUAUCGAAUCUCAAACCCACGGUCUCCCAACGCCAUAGCCCAUGCAUGCACGUGACAGCGAUUGUCAAAAACAUCAUUACGGAAACAAGGUUAACUCAUUACAAUGUAACAACAUAAUACGCAAGUCAAGCCAACCAGAUACAUACCGAUAAUUAAACAGGCUAUGUCAAGCAGAAUAAAAAGAAUCCCUCUCGCCUCGAACAUGAUUGCGGCUUCUUCUCCUCAGCUCGUGGACACAGAUGAGAAAAAACACUCGCACGAGUCAAUUGCUCCUCGGACGUGUCGUUGUCGUAUCCUUGAAAGCGCAGAAGCCAAGCCUAUCAGUAAACCGCAGAUCUCAUUAGACUAAAACUACACUUCUACCUAAAAAAAUAUUAUUAAAAACCGUCAAUCGAGUAGCCUACCAUUGGAGGGCUACCAUAAUGGCGACAGAUAGCCCAGUCGCCGUAACGUGACACGGAAUGCAAAACUGAUCUUCCCCUUGGAAUUACCGAAUUAUAGCGCGCAUCGAAAUUCUAAUCAAAGCUAAAUUAGACGGUCUCUGCCGUCUCAUUCAAAAUCGCUUGACCGCCAGGCGUAAACUAUUCGUUGGAGUUCUGUACAGGACUGCACACCAAGCCAUGGGCACAGUGGGGUUUCAUGAUAGCAGCUGACGAGGAUCAACAGAAGAGCCUAUCGCCUGCUUGCCAGCACAAUAUGAGAACACCGGUCACGUCCCCUUUCGAAGAGAACAUACAGGAAGAAGACAGACCAUGGAAGCUGUGUCUCGGGGGUGAUACAGCAUCCCCUGAAGGCAAUAGACCUUAAAGGGGCGUGCCAGGGUGUUCAACAUUCCACCAAGAACCCUAUGGCACCACAGAGGAAAGGAGGUGAAAAACCCAGGCUUCAGCCAAAUGGGUGGGGCGUCAGUCUUCUCUUUCGUGUCUGAAAGUGACCUCGUCAAUCGCAUCAUGGGACGUGAGAAGACUCGCCUUUGAUCUGACAGAGAGGAUGGGAAUCAAGCACAGGUUCAUCAUAGGAAAGGGGUAUGCAUGGGUGGAUUGGUUCAGUUGCUUAAUGAAGCGCAACCCUCAACUGUCAGUUUGAGUAUCGCAAGCAACCAGUCUUGCGAAGGCCGUGGGCUUUAAUAAGCUUAAGGUUGACCAGUUUUUUUAUGGCCUACAAGGACGUUUUAAACAGCAUCAGGGACAUCGGGAAAACAAAGAUUUGGAACAUGGACAAAAGUCCAGAAACUGUUGCCUGUGGUGGCCACCGAGGGAACAAAACGUGUUGCAUGGUUGACCAGCGCAGAGUGGCUUCACAGUCACAGUAAUUUGUGCUAUCAGUGUAGCGAGGCAGUACGUACUGCCCCUCUUCAUCUUCCCUCGGAAGAGGAUGAACGAACAGCUGCUGGUUGAAGCACCUGCACGGUCCGUUGGAAGGGUGAGUGACUCAGGCUGAGUCGACAGUACCAUCUUUGUCGACUGGCUCCACAACUUCAUCCACAGUGUUGGUUGCACCCCUGAGGAAUCCCACAUCCUCAUCCUCGAUGGGCACCACUCCCAUAAGACCCUGGAGGCUGUUCUGAAAGCAAGAGGCCAGGGUCUGAUUCUCAUCACUCUGCCACCCCACUGCAGCCACAAAAUGCAGCUGUUAGACCGUACCGUUUUCAAGGGUCUGAUGGCCUUUUACAACAGGGCAGAAGAUCAGUGGAUGACGAUGCAUCCUGGGAAAAGGAUAUGUAUAUACCAAAUGGCUAGACUCUUCACAAAGAUCUAUAACAAUGUGGCCAGUGUGGAGAGAGAGUGGAGGCCUUCUGGGCCAGUGGGCUGUGGCCUUUGGAGAAGGACAUCUUCACAGAGGCAGACUUCAUGGUCACUGAGGUUAUAGAGGAGCCUGAGCCCAUUGCCAGUAAGAUAAAGUUAUCUAAAUUAACGAAAAGUAGCAGAAGAAGCAUCUACUUGGUAGAAAGUGUUUAUUGUACUUACACCAAUGUAUUGUUAUGGUCGUUUAUUUUCAAUGCAAGGAAUCCAUUCAACCACAGUGCUCUACCGCUGCCACCGAUGCAGCUACCAGCUCUACCACCGCCACCUCUACAGCCACCAUCACUAGCUCUACCUACACCGCCACCAGCUCUAACGCCAAAACCUCUACCUCCACCACAUCUACUUCCACCACAACCUCCACCGUGCAGCCUACCCUUGCUCCAAAUCAAUUCUAUUGGAGUUGUGGCCGAGGCUCCAGGAGGCGAGGCAGAUGAAGAGGAAGGCAGAGUCUGCAGCUGUACUGACAGCCUCACCUUUACAAAAGGUUGCUGGAGGAAAAUGCUCGACAGAAACAUCAACACGAAGAAAAGAGAGAGAGUAAGAAAACAAAUCAGGUUCUUCAAAGACGGUUGGUGCAACACAACAAGCCACAUCAGCCACCAAAGAAGGGGGUGCGGAGGUGUGAGGUGCUGGUCUUUUCUGUGAGGUGCUGGUUUCAGUCACAGGUGGGGACUGGAUUAGGUGUGAGAACUGCAGGAGGUGGGCUCAUGGGUUGUGCAAUAGCAGAGCAAAAGAGAUGCAACAUCAUUGGUUGGUUAACUUAUGGUUAACUUAUGAUGUAUUGUUAUUAAAUGUUAUAUUCCAAUGUUAUUUCAUGUUAUUAGUUAUAUUCCAUUCCAAUAUUAUAUUCCAAUUCAUAUAUUUAUUUUUAAUGAAUUUUUAAAAAGCGAUUGAAAACCUUUUGCUCCUGAAUGUCAAUUUAAAGACUGCAGGGAUUUAAAAUCUUGCAUUAUUCCAAUACUAUUUAGUGAAAUUGUACAUAAUGCAUUGUAAGGAAAAGAAGCAACAUUGAAUGAACAAAGAAAAUUAAUGUGCAGGUGAGUUAAAGAGGGACUUUACAUCAAAUCUACUCAUAGUGCAGAUAUUAAUAGUGACAUGUGCAACACAAUUUACACCAACAUUUGUUUUAAAUCAUUAAAAUAAGGCAGCUAGAUUUAGCUUUUAAGUAUUACUUACUAAAUCAUUUCUAAAUAAAACUGAUUAAAUGGAUUUUAACACAGUUGUGUGAAACUCUAUGCCAUAAUCUUCUACUCGGGGGGCAGUUACCCCGGUACUUAAAAAACCCCUAUCUAAAAACAACAUUUCAUGAAAUGACUUAAAAAGUGUUUAUUUAACUUUAUAUUUUAUUUGCCUUAACAUGACCUUCAUAGGUUAAAUGCACAUACCAAUUUUUUUUUUGUGUCAGCAAUUCAACAUUGUUCUUAGGGGGUGCUAGUUACCCCCUAGUACCCUAACAUGGCAUGGAUCAUUCCACCAAUUCUGGGCUUUUUGAGAAGUGUAAAUUCGCCUCAUUUUAACAUUCGGCCAUAAAAAGAGCACAUGAUCAACUUGACUAUCAUAAGUGCCUAUUAAGUACCAAAUAAAGUAAGUGGGUUGAAUGUAACAGGAUUGACAAUUUCUUUUUAAAUCAACCAUACAUCUCCUUGUGACAGGGUGAAUCGAAGCAUGUUGUGUGCUAAAGGGAGUGGCAAGCUUCACCCCAAAAAAUGAAAUUAUGAAAACAUUUCUAGUCUGUCUAUCUGCAUAUACGCAGACUCAGCAUCAUUCAAAUAACGGCGUUUGAUACACCUGGUAUUGGAUAUGACUGAAAAUAAAUGUGCUAAAUGAGGGACAAAUGUAAAUUAAUCACUAAUAAUCUCAUUAAAUACAGUGCAUUAGGAAAGUAUUCAGACCCCUUCACUUUUUUUCCACAUUUUGUUACGCUACAGCCUCAUUCUAAAAUGGAUGAAAAUAUUUUUCCCUCAUCAAUCUACACACAAU